rnacentral:rRNA from 1 species
ACUAGCUCCUGGAUUUAGCGGCGGACGGGUGAGUAAUGUUAGGAAUCUGCCUGGUAGUGGGGGAUAACGUCCGGAAACGGGCGCUAAUACCGCAUACGUCCUGAGGGAGAGAGUGGGGGAUCUUCGGACCUCACGCUAUCAGAUGAGCCUAGGUCGGAUUAGCUAGUUGGUGGGGUAAAGGCCUACAAGGCGACGAUCCGUAACUGGUCUGAGAGGAUGAUCAGUCACACUGGAACUGAGACACGGUCCAGACUCCUACGGG